UGGGGAAUUUUGCACAAUGGGGGAAACCCUGAUGCAGCGACGCCGCGUGAUUUAGAAGGCCUUCGGGUUGUAAAAAUCUUUUUUACGGGAUGAAAAUGACAGUACCGUAAGAAUAAGGUCCGGCUAAAUACGUGCCAGCAGCCGCGGUAAUACGUAUGGACCGAGCGUUGUCCGGAAUCAUUGGGCGUAAAGGGUACGUAGGCGGCCUAAUAAGUUAGAAGUGAAAGAAUAUAGCUCAACUAUAUAAAGCUUUUAAAACUGUUAGGCUUGAGAUAUGAAAGGGAAAGUUGAAUUCCUAGUCUAGCGGUGAAAUGCGCAGAUAUUAGGAAGAAUACCGGUGGCGAAGGCGACUUUCUGGUCAUCUUCUGACGCUGAGGUACGAACGCGUGGGUAGCAAACAGG
rnacentral:rRNA from 1 species